AGGUAAGCUACUAAGAGCGAAUGGUGGAUGCCUUGACUGGUAAAGGCGAUGAAGGACGUACUAGACUGCGAUAAGCUACGGGGAGCUGUCAAGAAGCUUUGAUCCGUAGAUUUCCGAAUGGGGCAACCCAAUGUAUAGAGAUAUACAUUACCUAUAUAGGAGCGAACGAGGGGAAUUGAAACAUCUUAGUACCCUCAGGAAAAGAAAUCAAUAGAGAUUGCGUCAGUAGCGGCGAGCGAAAGCGCAAGAGGGCAAACCCAGUGCUUGCACUGGGGGUUGUAGGACUGCAAUGUGCAAGAGCUGAGUUUAGCAGAACAUUCUGGAAAGUAUAGCCAUAGAGGGUGAUAGUCCCGUAUGCGAAAAACAAAGCUUAGCUAGCAGUAUCCUGAGUAGGGCGGGACACGAGGAAUCCUGUCUGAAUCCGGGUCGACCACGAUCCAACCCUAAAUACUAAUACCAGAUCGAUAGUGCACAAGUACCGUGAGGGAAAGGUGAAAAGAACUGAGGUGAUCAGAGUGAAAUAGAACCUGAAACCAUUUGCUUACAAUCAUUCAGAGCACUAUGUAGCAAUACAGUGUGAUGGACUGCCUUUUGCAUAAUGAGCCUGCGAGUUGUGGUGUCUGGCAAGGUUAAGCAAACGCGAAGCCGUAGCGAAAGCGAGUCUGAAUAGGGCGCUUAGUCAGAUGCUGCAGACCCGAAACGAAGUGAUCUAUCCAUGAGCAAGUUGAAGCUAGUGUAAGAACUAGUGGAGGACUGAACCCAUAGGCGUUGAAAAGCCCCGGGAUGACUUGUGGAUAGGGGUGAAAGGCCAAUCAAACUUCGUGAUAGCUGGUUCUCUCCGAAAUAUAUUUAGGUAUAGCGUUGUGUCGUAAUAUAAGGGGGUAGAGCACUGAAUGGGCUAGGGCAUACACCAAUGUACCAAACCCUAUCAAACUCCGAAUACCUUAUAUGUAAUCACAGCAGUCAGGCGGCGAGUGAUAAAAUCCGUCGUCAAGAGGGAAACAACCCAGACUACCAGCUAAGGUCCCUAAAUCUUACUUAAGUGGAAAACGAUGUGAAGUUACUUAAACAACCAGGAGGUUGGCUUAGAAGCAGCCAUCCUUUAAAGAAAGCGUAAUAGCUCACUGGUCUAGUGAUUUUGCGCGGAAAAUAUAACGGGGCUAAAGUAAGUACCGAAGCUGUAGACUUGCACACAACUUAGAUUAUUUAAGUUUAGAAUAUGAGAAACUAAGUUAUAUGUUUAGUUAUAUUUUUACUGAUUUUUAUAGAGUAAAGAUAGAAAUAAAACUUAGUAAAAUCAGUAAAAAUAUUCUUAGGCUAAAGUUAAGUAGUUUAAGUUGUGUGCAAGUGGUAGGAGAGCGUUCUAUUUGCGUCGAAGGUAUACCGGUAAGGAGUGCUGGAGCGAAUAGAAGUGAGCAUGCAGGCAUGAGUAGCGAUAAUUAAUGUGAGAAUCAUUAACGCCGUAAACCCAAGGUUUCCUACGCGAUGCUCGUCAUCGUAGGGUUAGUCGGGUCCUAAGUCGAGUCCGAAAGGGGUAGACGAUGGCAAAUUGGUUAAUAUUCCAAUACCAACAUUAGUGUGCGAUGGAAGGACGCUUAGGGCUAAGGGGGCUAGCGGAUGGAAGU
rnacentral:rRNA from 1 species